AAAGAAAGAAACAUAUGUUCUCUUUUGGAUGGACAGAACACAGGGUCUUUUAAAGCAGUCAGAGUGCGUGUGUGCACGUUUGGGCAGGGCUGCAACUCGACGGUCGCUGUGGAAGACCAGACUUGUCCUGGCGGGCACACUGCCGUCUUCCUCAGUUUGAUGUCAUGAUGUCAGACCAGUGCAUGGCCAAUCCCAUCAGCCCAUGACAGGAAGUGGGUUUGUGCCAGUGAAGUGUACUGUGCUGUAUACUGAACAGAGCCUCUAUUCAACAUCAAGACGUGACAAGUUGGAACAGGAGAGAUGAAAAGACCCUUCAAAAGCACCCAGAUCCAUUAGACAAUAUACGAGUCAGAGGCAGUCACCUCUGCUUUGUGUCCUCGCUGUUUGUGCUGUUAUGCCCUCUUUGUUUUUCAUGUUCAGGCCUUGUGUAGAAAAAGCAGGAAAGUGGGCGUAACAGUGUACAUGUGUGUUGUGGGUUUUUGUGACUUUAAUGUGUGCGAUGUGAAGAUGUAUGCGUGUUCGCAUGCGUGUUUGUACACACUUGUCAGUGCUACUGUGUGCGUGUGUGCAUGCACCUGCAUAAUGUGUUGUUUGGUGUUUGGUUGGGUUUGGUUGACCUACAUUAGUAACACUUUACAAUAACGUUCUACAAUAUACAAUAUGUUAACAUUAGUUAAUGCAUUGGGUAUCAUGAACUAAUAUUCAUAUUAUAUAUAUAUAUAUAUAUAUAUAUA